rnacentral:rRNA from 1 species
GAUGAACGCUGGCGGCGUGCUUAACACAUGCAAGUCGAACGAGGAUUUAACGGAAUGCGAUUCGUCAAAUGAAAUUAAAUCCGAGUGGCGGACGGGUGAGUAACGCGUGGAUAACCUGCCUCACACAGGGGGACAACAGUUGGAAACGACUGCUAAUACCGCAUAAGCGCACAGGAUUGCAUGAUCUGGUGUGGAAAACUCCGGUGGUAUAAGAUGGACCCGCGUCUGAUUAGCUGGUUGGUGAGGUAACGGCCCACCAAGGCGACGAUCAGUAGCCGACCUGAGAGGGUGACCGGCCACAUUGGGACUGAGACACGGCCCAAACUCCUACGGGAGGCAGCAGUGGGGAAUAUUGCACAAUGGGGGAAACCCUGAUGCAGCGACGCCGCGUGAGCGAUGAAGUAUUUCGGUAUGUAAAACUCUAUCAGCAGGGAAGAUAAUGACGGUACCUGACUAAGAAGCACCGGCUAAAUACGUGCCAGCAGCCG